UAAACUAAAGUGAGUUUGUUGAUAGCAGAGCAGGCAGAAAAGUAAGUUGAGCGCUUAGAAUGUGCAAUAAGCAAAAAUGGCAAGUUCAUGCAUAGGGGCUCACUAAUAUAUCCUGCCAUGAUUUGUAACCUUCCAGGUGCCUCUAGGUGCUCUCAUAAUGCUGUAAAUCCCUGGGCAAUGAGGGAAAACAGGGAAUAGAAGUAGACAAAUAUACUUACUAGUAAUAUUUAUUUAUCAUAAUAUUUAACAAGAAGUUUUUAUGCAGGAUUAUGAUAUAUCUCUAAAAAUAUAAUCCAGAGCCCAGUUGCUAGCCAAUGACAGAACCAACUCACUCAAUAGGUGGCAUCUUGGGGCCCAAUGACCCGGAACAUAGUGUAGAGAAGCAGGGCAUGAUGGGGCUAGGAGGGCAGCCUGCUUCCCUUCCCCCCUCCACUUUAUGGGUUCCUGAUGGCUGGCCACUGAGAGCCCUGAAUAUUUCCUGGGCUUAGCAGGGGGAGGGGCGCUCAAGGCAGUCCUACCUUCCAUUCGGUUCCAGGCAGCAGGAGGAUCAGUAGCUCACAACAUCCCACCCUCCUUCCCUAUAAAAGGGGGUUGUUGUCAUCACAGUUGGCGGAGAGUACCUUACUCCGUUCCCCCAGGGGGAAGUUUGAGGGGGGUACUUGUCAAGGAGAGUGUAGCCCGGUUGGCCUGGGGUCCUGAGCGGCAGUUAGCCUUGGUUUAGGUUGGGGGAAAAGGAGGCAGGAACCAGGCGUUACAUUUGGGCGCAGGGCCAGCCCCUUGGAGGACAAUCAGGUGACAGAGGGGAGGAUCCAUCCCAAAUAUAUUAUAACAUUCCAAACACUGCAGCGGCUCAUCCUACAAUAGAGGAGGGUCCA